AUGACCAUUCCUAUAUUCUGAGAUUCAGGAAUGUGGUUAGCUAACGCGGUAAAUGUCCGCCUCAGAGUCGAUCGCAAGAUUAAACUCAAAGGAAUAGACGGGGCUCACACAAGUGGUGGAACAUGUGUUUAUUCGAUACUACGCGCAUACCUUACCAGUUCUUGACAUGAUCCCUAUGGAUCACAGGUGUUGCAUGGCUGUCGUCAGUCUCGUGUGGUGACAUGUUGGAUUAAUUUCCCGAACGAGCGAAACCCUGCCACAUUGCACUAUACACACGUACGUCAAUGUGGACCGCCAGUGAGAGACUGGAGGCAGGAUGGGAUGACGUCAAGUCCUCAUGACCCUUAUGAAUUGGGCUACACACGUGUUACAAUGGUGUGAACAAUACGUAGCAAGACCGAAAGGUGGAGCCAAUCGCCAAAUCACACCUCAGUACGGAUUGGUGUCUGCAACUCGACACCAUCAAGCCGGAAUCACUAGUAAUCGUGGAUCAGCACGCCACGGUGAAUACGUACCUGAGCCUUGUACUCCCCGCCCGUCACACUCUGGGAGAUGUAUGUAGUGGAAGUACCUAUACAUACCGUGUAUGCCACGUGUCUUGUGAACAAGACACACAUCAUACACUGUAAUCAUGGGUCCCAGACCGCAUAGAUCAACUGGAGUGAAGUCGUAACAAGGUAAC
rnacentral:rRNA from 1 species